GGCGGCUGGAGGGUACCCGUGUGCUCCAGUUACAGCUGCUGAUCUGCAGCCUCUUCUACUGGAGGUUACAGCACGCUAAGUGCUGAGAAGGCAUUUUGCUUAUGUAUUUUGUCUUCUUUUCCACCCUCCUUGCAGCACACGCGUGUGCACCUCGAUUUAAUUCUUAAGAAGAUUUUGCUGCUUGAGAUGUAACAUCUCAAGAGGAGGUAGCUGUCAGCUGAAGCCCUUCUCUGGGUGCAUGAAAAGCUUAGCUUCUCACAAUGAGUACUGACUGAAACUUGCACUGAAGGAGGCAGACACCUUCCAUGAGAGAUUUGUUCCCAUAACACUUGGAUACUCACUGCUCUGAACCCUUAUGAUAUCUGCUAAUCAGGUGCAAAAGGAGAGGAGGGUAUCUAAUAGCUGUUUGUGGCUAUGCUUUCAUUCAAGCUCAGUUUCAGUGAAAUAGCCACUACUGCACAAUACGAACAAACACCCCACCCACACACUUUUUCUAGAUACAUGAUAUAUCCCAUGGAAAUAUUUUGGUUUUAGCAGGUCUUCAGAUUUUAGAGAUGAUCUGUAAUUUGUGUAUGCACUUUGAACUUGGUGUGCCUCUCUAUUUUUUUUCCUGCUACUCCCUAUACUGUUGUCUGUAGUGAUGCUGGGAUACAGACAUAGUUACACAUCUAUUUAGACGUGAUUUGGACAUGAAAUUACUUUGACAUCAGGUUGCUUUGUAAGAUUCCAGGGGAGUUUCUCCUUGCUGCAGUCCUUGCUGCUUGCAGAUCUCUCUGUGCCGUGAUGAAUUGCCUCUGCUCAGCCCUGGAGCAUGAGCUUGUUCAUCAGCAUUACAUGUGCCACGAGGUGAUAACGGUGGAAGUCUGAGCUCCCUCAGGACAGACUUUUGGCUCACUGCAUCCUUCCCUCAUAUAACCAACACAAAUUAGUUUAUUUUGAAAUUUCAUUAUAGCGCCAAUCAGACAUUUUGCACAAUGCACCAUUACAAUGAACUAGGCUUGUCCCAAGCAGUAGAUGGCAAUUGAUAAAGCAUUAACUCUCCCAUGUGGCAUUUUCCAUGGGUUGAAAAUGCCUUUGCAAGCUUCCUACACUUCUGCAUGGCGCUUGCCUGUGCUGGCAGCCUUUGCACAUUACAGCUAGAAAUUAUGGCUGUUCUUAUUUUGCCUACUCAUUUGUACACCCUCAUUGCAAUGUCUAAACCCCCCACUGUGGCUUAAAGAAGGUCUGUUUGCCAAAAAACACCCUUGUCUCUGUUUGGUACGGUGUUACAAUUGCUGUUUUCUCUCCCUACUUCAGAAAAAAUAAUAAUAAUAAUAACUCUCUGUGAUCUGACAGACCAGCUCUGGCAGUUGGUGCUGCAAAAGUUCAGAUGUUACCAGAGCCAGCUGUCCGCCCCCUUGCCAAAAAAUAAUUUCCCAGAGCAGAGUCAGCAGAAGCGAACACACGCCCAGUGCCCAGCAGAUUCAGUGCAAAGCCCAGCUUCAGCUGGAACUUGUCUGGCCACAAAUUUUCAAUGAUAGCCAACAGUUCUGAUUAGAAAAUGAUCACAUUCAUUAAAAUUCCUUCACUCGAGACCUGCGGCUGGAUCAUGCAUGCAGACUGUAUGACAUAAAGUAUGUUGUGUAAACUCUUAUCACCUUCCUCUCAGCAGAAUAUUAUUUCUCAGCAGACUAUCUAAAUUAGUUGGCUUUUACUACUUUAAGAUCUCCUGCUCACCUGUUAAAUGGCCUUUUUAAGUGUUAAUUUCCUAUUUUUGGCCUUUCUUGUCUCUGUAGUAAAUAUGCAUUUUGAAGUGCAAGAACUCCAGAAAAAUGCUUUGUGUCUGGAACAAAAUAAUCAAGUCAGUGAUAUAAGUCUGUUAAACUUCUAGCAUAAACAAGAGGAACACUGAUCUCAAAAGAGCAAAGUGAUUUAUAUCAGUCAAAAAUAUAGGCCUGCUGACUUCAAAAAUGUUUGUCCUCAUUUAUUUUAAUAGGCAUAAGGGACUCAAAGUCUCCUAAAAUUAGACCCAAAGGCUUUUUGGAGGAUUAUCUCUGAGGUUACAGAACUGACUGAAGACUUGAUGGAAAGAUAAAAUUUUUGCAAACCUUUGUGUUGCCAAAAAAGGUGUUUAAUGAGAAAACCAGCAACGUUUUCUGCUUUAGCUAUAUAAAUAGCAUGGUUUUAUGGUCCAUGAUUUCUGAAAGUUGAUGCUUUUUACUUUUAUCACUGCUCCGGACACUGCAAAACAUGUAUGAGGACAUUAUGCACAGUUUUGUCAAGUGGCAGGAUGACAGCAUAGAGACCGAGAGCACUGCUCCAGGUGCAGCAGCGUGCCAGUGGCCAGCUCCAGCUGUGCUUAUCGGCGCUGCCGCUGACCUUUCAAGCCACUUCUCACUCUCGAUUUGUUUGCUCUCUUUAUCAGCCCUGAGCCUUGCCAAUACAGCUCUAAGAGAAGUCUGUAGCGUGGAACGGGAUGCACAGAAGUGCAGGAAGAGGUUGCUGCCCUCUGUGACCUGGUUAUCUGUCGGAAAGUCAGUGCAGUCACUUUCCCCUUGCCACAGAGCUUAAAGAAAGCAUACUUUCCGAUACAGAUAAUUUUACUAGGAUGUGGUGGUUGCAGUUCCCAUUAUAGCUACUGACUGUUAAUUACAGAGCUAAUAUAAUUAUACUGCAGCCAGCUGAGUUAGAGUGAAUUUCUAAAAGCACCUUGUGCCGUACAGACACCGGUUACUGAGAGCCUGAGAAAUCUCAAACAGAUGAAUUUUCCACUCCUUACUCUUACUACAGCUCACAUUGGAGGCUCGUCUGUUAAGGAAGACACUCACUGGGACCGGGGUGAGUAUAGCGUCAUACAUAAAUAUAGCACUUGGAAAACGCUCCACCUGACAUUCAUACAGCUUGUCUUCUAGGAAUGAGAUUCAAAACUGAGGGGAUGACAACUGCCCGGUCAUGGAGAGAAGGGUGAAUAUAUGCUCUGUGCACAGGCAUGCAGCUUUCUUCAGGGUGUUUGCUCUUUUGUGGUAUCCAGGUUUACUUGGCUUUGCAGGUGUUAUCAAGACAUCUCAUCAUUUCUGCGGGCUGCAAAGUCUCACUCAGCAUCUUUUUAAUGAAUUCAUAUUGUUAAUGCAAUCUUUCAAUGGCACAGAAUUUUCUUGCAAAAGUAAGGGUUCAGAUCAGACUUGUGGCAUGUUACUAGACGGAAGGUCAGUUGGGCUUCUUCAGAUGACAGACUGACUUCUAAAGAAAAAGAUUAUGCACCUACUCUCAAAAGCAGUACCGUUAUGGUAA